GUGCUCGCUUCAGAAACACAUAUACUAAAAUUGCAAUGAUACAGAGAAGAUUAGCACGGCCACUAUGCAAGGAUGACAUGCAAAUUCUUGAAACAUUCCAUAUUUUU
ensembl:snRNA U6 U6 spliceosomal RNA